rnacentral:rRNA from 1 species
UACGGAGGGUGCGAGCGUUAAUCGGAAUUACUGGGCGUAAAGCGCACGUAGGCGGUCAGUCAAGUCGGGUGUGAAAGCCCUGGGCUCAACCUGGGAAUUGCAUUCGAAACUAUCUGACUCGAGUAUGGGAGAGGGAAGCGGAAUUUCCGGUGUAGCGGUGAAAUGCGUAGAUAUCGGAAGGAACACCAGUGGCGAAGGCGGCUUCCUGGACCAAUACUGACGCUGAGGUGCGAAAGCCAGGGGAGCAAACGGG